AAAAAUUUCACACUUACGAUCAAUAUAGGAUUAGCUUCAAGUCCCUUAUGAUCAUAUUUGUGAUUAAUUUUCCUUUCUCUUUUAGCUAUAAUUAAAAUACAAACGAAGUGAAAGAAAGACAUGAUGAGUAUUGAUAACCUUUCUUAAGUCUAUAUCUCCAUUACAUGAGAAAAGGAUCUUUUUAGUAUUGGUAUAAAUGAUCUUUCCCUCACGUUCGGCUAUAGCAAGAGCCCCUGGACAUUAUGCGUUUGUUACAAAACAACCCCUUAGAGAAAGGGCAAAACAAGGGGAGCAACGAGCUCCAUCUGCUCUGAUUCAUUAUUUGGGAUUUUGAUCCAAGAGCACUACCAAAGUGUUUACCUGGAUUUAAUUAGAUACAAUUUCAAGGAUUUUGUAGGUUCUUUGAUCAGGGUAGAUGCUUUUUCAGACCUAUUGUCGAUACUAAGUAGCAGUCAAAAAUUUGUAUCCAUUUUUCAUGAUAUUAUGCAUGACGAAUAUUGUGACUAUUUAUAGUGAUGACAAUAUGCAUUUUAAGUUUAGAGCCUAAAUUUGCA
rnacentral:lncRNA from 1 species